ensembl:lncRNA
GUGUGUGUGAGUGUGUAUGUGUAUGUGUGUGUAUGUAUGAGUGUGUGUAUAUGUGUGUGUGUGAGUGUGUGUGAGUGUAUGUGUGUGUGUGUGAGUGUAUGUGUGAGUGUGUGUAUGUGUGUGGUUGUCCACUAAUCAUAGGGUUGGCGGUUCGAUUCCUGGCCCAGGUGACUCCACAUGCCAAAGUGUCCUUGGGCAAGACAUUGAACCCCAUGUAGCUCCCGAUUAGCGCCUUGCAUGGCAGCUCUGCUACCAUUGCUGUGUGAGUGUGUGGGCGAAUGAGACACAGUGUAAAGCGUUUUGGAUAAAAGCGCUAUAUAAGUGCGCCAUUUACUGUUUGUGUGGAGGGCCGGGCCAUGUGUUAGUUAAAUAUUGACGUGGUGUCUAAUGAUUAACGCGACUGCAAUUCCACAUUACAUUAACCUGCUCCUCUCAGUCACACACUCACUCUCUCACUCAGCGCCAACACCUUCACUCUGCUGCUACUGAGUGUGUGUAAAAGUGUGUGAGAGUGUGUGUCCUGUAUCAGAGACUCCUCGAGGGAACACCACUAUAGGUGAGUAAAUUUAUGAAUCUAUAGCACACAGACACACAAACACACACAAAGAGCAGGUAAUAGAGUGCAUAUGUUAAAUGUGUGUGUUUUUCAUGUUGACGUCCUGUAGUAAUUCAAGAAGUAAAUCCUGUUGCUCACCUGAGUGUGUGCUGCAGUUCCUCACACUUAUCCAAAGAUGUUGCUGUAGUCUCUCUCUCUCUCUCUCUCUCUCUCUCUCUCUCUCUCUCUCUCUCUCUCUCUCUGUCUAUCUCUUGGUGCUAGCUGCCUGUAACAGCAACUCCAUGUGGAAUGUGUGAGUGUGACCUCCAGUGGAGCUGCUGUUACUUGCAGAGAGUCACCCCUGACCCCUGACCCCUGACCUUUCACUGUGACCUUCAGCUGAUCUACAGUCUAAUGAAUUGAUUAGAAAUUGAUCACACAAUGUUUGCUAAAGGCUAAUAACUAAUGUCUAAUAUCUUGCUAGUCUUUGCUAACUGCAUUGUGAGGUGUGAAGUGUACUGUUCUGUAGUUGGUUUGUGAUUUGGGAUGCAGCCUGUGUCUUAAACUCACUCUAUUACUAACAGUAUGUGUACUGGGAGCAUACAGUGACCAAUCAGAGCCACUCAGUUUAUAUAUUCACACAUAUCUGUGCAUAUAUUUGCAUAUUAAUCAGUGGGCAUUGCUGAUUGGGCGGCAGGG